CAAGUCCUUCCAAACCAAAGUCUAGCCAGCAGGUUAGUAGUGAAGCCCGGGUGCGAUACUGGUAACAGUGUGUGCGGAGCAAGGGUGAAACGAGAGUAUAGGCUGUCUACUGAGCCCCGAAAUAUUGUAUAGUUGUGGACGUUUGGAUAACC
rnacentral:autocatalytically_spliced_intron from 1 species